rnacentral:rRNA from 1 species
AUUGAACGCUGGCGGCAGGCCUAACACAUGCAAGUCGAGCGGGGGUAGCAAUACCCUAGCGGCGAACGGGUGAGGAAUGCUUGGGAAUCUGCCUGGUAGUGGGGGGAUAACGUUCCGAAAGGAACGCUAAUACCGCAUACGUCCUACGGGAGAAAGGGGGGGAUCUUCGGACCUCUCGCUAUCAGAUGAGCCCAAGCGGGAUUAGCUAGUUGGUGAGGUAAAGGCUCACCAAGGCGACGAUCCCUAGCUGGUCUGAGAGGAUGAUCAGCCACACUGGAACUGAGACACGGUCCAGACUCCUACGGGAGGCAGCAGUGGGGAAUAUUGGACAAUGGGCGAAAGCCUGAUCCAGCCAUGCCGCGUGUGUGAAGAAGG